rnacentral:rRNA from 1 species
GUCUACGGCUGUACUACCCUGAACGUGCCCUGUCGUCUGAUCUCAGAAGCUAAGCAGGGUCGGGCCUGGUUAGUUAGUACUUGGGUGGGAGACCACCUGGGAAUACUGGGUGCUGUAGGCU